UUUCUCCCCUGUGCUCAAUCUGCACGCCACACCGGUUGGCUACGAGUGUUGCAGGCAUUGUGGCAAGCUUCUAGAGACCAUAUCCUCUCUAUUGUGGCCAUCCAUUCUGCGAUGACCUUUCUACCCUAUACCAUAUUCAUUGCUGAUGUUCCAGCGAUCCUGAAAAGAGGGAGUUUAUCAGAGUGUUCGCCCUGCUUCGGCUCAAGCAAACUCUGAUGAGGAUUGGUGAUGUCUCUAGGUUUGCCAUGAUGUCUGUGCCUCGGGCGUGGAUGCAGUGACACAGUUCCAGGUGGACCCACUGGGGCAGUAGAGUAUGUGACACUCGUAGUAGACGGUCACAUGAAUGGGUCCUAUACCAUGCUCUCUACUCAUUCCAGGGAUAUCUGGGAUGGGGAGGAAGCUGCGCUUUUUC
rnacentral:telomerase_RNA from 1 species